rnacentral:rRNA from 1 species
GGACCCACACAAGCGGUGGAGCAUGGGGUUUAAUUCGAUGAUAAGCGAAGCACCUCACCCAGACUUGACAUGGUAGGAAUCCGGCCGAAAGGUUGGAGUGCCGCAAGGAGCCUACACACAGGCGCUGCACGGUCGUCGUCAGCUCGUGCCUUGAGGUGUACUGUUCAGUCAGCCAACGAGCGCAACCCUGAUCCUAUGUUGUUUUUUCAUAGGAGACUGCCGCCUCCAAGGCGGAGGAAGGUCAGGAUGACGUCAGAUCAGCGUGGCCCUUAUGUCUGGGGCAACACCCGUGCUACAAUGGUCGGUACAAACGGCGGCUAACCCGCGAGGGGGAGCAAAUCCGAUAAAACCGAUCUCAGUCCGGAUUGAAGUCUGCAACUCGACUUCAUGAAGUUGGAAUCGCUAGUAACCGUGAAUCAGCUACGUCACGGUGAAUACGUUCCUGGGUCUU